rnacentral:rRNA from 1 species
UUACGGGAGGCAGCAGUGGGGAAUCUUGGACAAUGGGCGCAAGCCUGAUCCAGCCAUGCCGCGUGAGUGAAGAAGGCCUUCGGGUUGUAAAGCUCUUUUGUCAGGGACGAUAAUGACGGUACCUGAAGAAUAAGCCCCGGCAAACUUCGUGCCAGCAGCCGCGGUAAUACGAAGGGGGCUAGCGUUGUUCGGAAUUACUGGGCGUAAAGCGCACGUAGGCGGGUCGUUAAGUCAGGGGUGAAAUCCCGGAGCUCAACUCCGGAACUGCCUUUGAUACUGGCGAUCUAGAGGUCGAGAGAGGUGAGUGGAAUUCCGAGUGUAGAGGUGAAAUUCGUAGAUAUUCGGAAGAACACCAGUGGCGAAGGCGGCUCACUGGCUCGAUACUGACGCUGAGGUGCGAAAGCGUGGGGAGCAAACAGGAUUAGAUACCCGGGUAGUCCU